rnacentral:lncRNA from 1 species
AGUGUCCUGUGACUAUGGAAGCUACAAUGAUGAUACUUUCCUCCUCCUCCUCCUCCUCCUCCUCCUCCUCCUCCUCCUCCUCCUCCUGCUGCUGCUGCUGCUGCUGCUGCUGCUGCUGCUGCUGCUCUUCCUCCUCCACCUCCUUCUGCUGCUGCUGCCUCCUCCUCCUCCAUUUUUUUUCGUUUGUUUUUUUUUUGUUUUUUUUUUUUGUUUUUGUUUUUGUUUUCUUUUUGAGACAGGGUUUCUCUGUGUAGCCUUGGCAAUCCUGGAACUCACUCUGUAGACCAGGUUGGCCUUGAACUCAGAAAUUCCCCUGCCUCUGCCUCCCAAGUGUUGGGAUUACAGGCGUGGGCCACCACUCCCAGUGAUGAUACUUUCUUGUGUAUUAGUGUGUGAAGUGUCCAGAGGCCUGGUACACCAUCACAGAGCAUAGAUUACUAAAGCGUCCAUACACCUGUGACAUCUCUGGCCUAGGGAGACCAUUUGAGAAUGGCCAUUACCUGUGAAAUCUGUUUCCCUGCCUUCAGAGGUCUGAUUCUUGGGAUUUUUGUGAAUCACCCAGCACCUUCCAUUUGGAAAACCAGUAACCACACUCUCACCUACAUUCUGUGCAUUUCCCUCAUCUUCUCUUUCUUUGGCUCCAUGAUAUUCACAGGCCAUUCACACUCAGUCAGUUUUAUAGCGAAGCAAACCAUGUUUGUAGGUGCAUAGACUAGGAUAUUUUUUCCCAAACUUUUGGCCAAAUUGAUCAUGGUUCUCAAUUUCAGAGUGUUCUUUUACUGAAAUUUAUUCACACUAUGAACAUCAUCAUUAAUAUUUCAUGUGUAGGCAUUAGUACUUGUAUCUCACAAAUUCUAUUUUCAAAUUUCUGGUCUUUUCUCAUUUUUCUGUGAAACAUUUUCCUGGCUGCUGAUAAAGUAUAUCCUCUAUGGAUCAUUAAAAAUGAAAAACAUCAAAAAGCUAAAAAUUCAAAGGAGAAGAAAGUUUGUGCUCAAAACUGAGUUCAUUUGUCACAGUGAAAGACUAUGAUUGAUGUUUACUGGUUAAGUGAUACAAGCAUGGCGGUCUCUGCAAACCCUAGGUCUGGUAGAAUAACAAUCCAUGAGACCAAAAGAAAUCUAUGUUCAAUACCACUCUAUAAGUAUUUCAGCACUAGUUGUGGGUGUGUUGUGAGUUAUUGUCAAUGAAAUUCUUGCAGCACUCAGGGAUAAAUCCAUCCCAGUGAAUAUGUGAAUAGCUCUGAAGUAAAAGGUCUCCUGGCAGUCAGAAGUCAUGAUAUACCACAAUGCCCCAUGGAACAUUUAACCACACACAGAGGUUUAAUGGGAUAACACUGGAGGGAGGCUGCCUCUGCUCAGGUGAGAAGCAGAAGAGAAAUAAGUGAGAGGCAGGCUUCUCAAAGGGUUUUAUUUGGGGGGGGGAUGGGGGGAAAGGAUUUUCAGGAUCAGAAAUAUCUCUGGUUGGAUAUUGCUGGGGUUUUAUGUUCUGAGUUUGAGUAAACUAAGGAGUUUCUGAAUUAUUAAAACUGGGAAGUAAACUAUAAGUUUUCCCUGUAGACUCAGUGGCCAAUGCUGACUGAAGCUUCAAGAUUCUGAUCCCAGGAUGGUUUAUUUUAGGAACAAGUAAGCACAGUAUAAUUUCAAAAUGAAAUUUCUUGGUAAUAAUUGUCUCAAUCAUAUGUGCACAGUGAAGAUAAAGGUGUGGCUUCCUCAAAAGUCUUUUGACAAGUACAGGUGUUUCCUUCUUAAAGUUGAAUUCUAAAAAUAAGGGUCUAGAGGAGGAUCAAGCAUACCGUGUAGAGGACACCAAGCUGUAAGGUACAUGUCCUAUGUCCCCCAAGGAUGGUUUGUACUACUGGAGAAACAAUGACCUAGGAUGAUUAUCUGGGACAAUUUAACAGUCUGGGACUUUCAGGUGUAGUCUGGCACUACAUCUACCACAGGUCACCAACCUGCUUACUAUAUCCAUUCCUUCACUUCUGG